rnacentral:misc_RNA from 1 species
GAAAUGCGAUAAGUAAUGUGAAUUGCAGAAUUCCGUGAAUCAUCGAAUCUUUGAACGCACAUUGCGCCCUCUGGUAUUCCGGGGGGCAUGCCUGUCCGAGCGUCAUUGUGAACCCCUCAAGCACGGCUUGUGUGAUGGGCCCUCCCGCGUCUUGGUCGUCAAGACGGGCCCGAAAUGCAGUGGCGGCUUCGCGGUUAUCCGAUCAGCCAGAGCGUAUGGGGACUUUCUCUCUGUCACACGCCCGCGGCGCGGACCGACGCCUGUCGACCUUUAUUCAUCUUUUUCUCGGUUGACCUCGGAUCAGGUAGGGAUACCCGCUGAACUUAAGC